rnacentral:rRNA from 1 species
UACAGAGGUGGCAAGCGUUGUUCGGAAUUACUGGGCGUAAAGGGCGCGUAGGCGGUUUGUCAAGUCUUGUGUGAAAGCCCCCGGCUCAACCGGGGAACUGCACGGGAAACUAGCAGGCUUGAGUUCGGGAGAGGGAAGCGGAAUUCCGGGUGUAGCGGUGAAAUGCGCAGAUAUCUGGAGGAACACCGGUGGCGAAGGCGGCUUCCUGGACCGACACUGACGCUGAGGCGCGAAAGCUAGGGGAGCAAACGGG